CUGCAGGGCACAGCAAAACAAGGGAAGUAAGCAACCAAAGGUUUCCACUUUCUUAUCUUCCUGAGCCUUCUGCACACGUUUAUUCUCCGGUAGCAGACAGGAAAGACUGUGAGGCUACAAUAAAGCUAAUCCAGCACUGCAGGAGUAAGCAUUUAGCUUGAAGAACAGAGAGUGCCAGGUUAUGUGGCUGUGUGUAACCCUCGGAGGUUAAGGUCUUUCAUCUCCACAGAGAACAAAAGAGUACAGUCUCCUUAUUGGAAAACUUCUGCCUUCAUCACACAGCAAGGGGGAGAUUGUGCUGUG